CAGUCGCCGCGGGAAUACGAAGGUCCCAAGCGUUGUUCGGAAUCACUGGGCGUAAAGGGAGCGUAGGCGGCGUGGUAAGUCAGAUGUGAAAUCCCGGGGCUCAACCCCGGAACUGCAUCCGAUACUGCCAUGCUUGAGGGUUGGAGAGGUAGCUGGAAUUCUCGGUGUAGCAGUGAAAUGCGUGGAUAUCGAGAGGAACACUCGUGGCGAAGGCGAGCUACUGGACAACAUCUGACGCUGAGGCUCGAAGGCUAGGGCAGCGAAAGGGAUUAGAUACCCCUGUAGUCCCUGUCUCUUAUAC
rnacentral:rRNA from 1 species